CACCCGUCUGGUUUCCAGCUUUCCCGAGAGUACGCGCCGCUGCGAACUGAACUCAGGAACAACUUGCUUCGUGUUUUCUGAGGCGGAUGGUCCAUCACAAAUUGAAUAGUUUCCUCUGCUGCUUGCUUCCUGCCAUGUGUACCUGCCACAGGCCCAAAGCCACAGGAUCAAGUGAUUGUGCUCUGAGGCCUCUGAUAUGGAGGGAAGACACUUAAGGCCCUCGGUUUUGUACAAGAUGCAGAGACAGUUUGCUCAAGAGCAAGCUAAGAAUGUUUCAGAAAACCUGAGCUGUCCAUCUGCAAAGCCACUUCCCUGAAGAGGAAGCAUCAUUCUUUCAAUGACCCAACUUCACUAGAAUAAUUGGGAACUAUAUCAGAGUUCCUGGAGGCCAAGAGUUCCUCAGGAUACAGUUUGGAUGGGAGCUAGAGCAUGGAUGAGCAGGUGGCUCAGCCAAAAACUGAGCAUUUUGACUCUUUCCCUCAGUGUGAUGAGUCUAAAGAAAAACCUGGGUCAAUAUCAACAAAACCACCAGAUUGGCUAUAACCCUGGAUCCUUUCUCACUGACCCAGUUGGGAUCAUUUCCAUAGCCUUUAAUUUUUAACAUCUUUAAAGGGAAGCUACCUUUAAUCCCAAAUUUCUCAGUUUGCUAGACUUAGUUCCUAUCAUUUUCUUCAUCCAAAGUCAGAUUGUUCUUCCCUUGGCUAAUUUAUUAACUAAGUUUUCUAUAUUGUGUGUGAUGGCUCUUGAUUCAAAAUUUCCUGCUGAACACAUCAAUCUAUCUUGUUGCUGACUUUCCAAAUCCUGGCUCAAUCAAUCAAAAAACACUCGAAUCCUUCUUGGCUUAUCCUAAAUUGCAUUUGAUACCAGUCCAACCUUAUCUUCAAUAAGCUCACCUAGGUAAUUUGCAUGUAACAAACAAUUUAGGUCUUUCAAUGAUUAUUUAUAGGAUGGCAAAGCCAUAAAUCAACCUAGAAAUAGCCUGCUACCAGAGACCUUUUGCCUAAAUAGGGAACAGGACCUGAUAAACGAGUUAAAGUUAAUUCUUUAUCUCAAAUUUAAUUAGUUCUUUACAACUAUGAGAUUCUGUCAUUUACAAUUAACUGUUAAAUUCAGAUCAUAGUACUAUUUUUGAUGUUCUGACAUUAAUGCUUUAAUUCUUUUGAGUACAUGAUCACAAAUUGGUGAUAUUUCUCUGCUAUAUUCUAAUAGUUCUACUGUAAGUUUGUAUGUGAAUGGUACAGGGCUGAGACAGGAAACCCAGAUUGUGUUCUGACUCUGCCAUAUAGUACCCAUGAGUUAUUGAAUAAUAGGACACCAUUCUCCCAAUUUUUCCACUUUAAAUUGAAGAGGAAGGGUCCAUGAUUAGACUUCAAGAGCUCUAUGACAUUUGAAAUGAUAUACAAUAUUUUAAUGUUUUUUGAGCAUUUUUUUGUCUAUUACAGAAAGGUAAAGGAAAGGCCCAUAGUUUUGAUUAGAACCUAUCUCUAACAACAAAAAGUUAGGAAACUAUACAUUAAUGGUAGUAGUAGUAUAACACUACUCUUAUUUCAAUAUUUUAAUAAUGUAAUUUGAUUAAUAUUUAUGUUCUCAUGGAGAUUUCUAUUGUUUUUAAGAAGUCAUAGUUUUAUGAACUGAAAUGUGUUUUCUAAAUUGUACCUUUUCAGAGAUGUUAUGAGGAAGGGUAGGCUUUUUGGUAAACUAUCCCGAUAUUGGUCAUUUAUGUGGAAAAAUUAAAUCCCUACCUCACACCAUACAAAAAAAUUUCAGAUAUACUAAACACCUCAAUGUGAAAAUCCAAAAUUAGAAACUUUUGGAAUAUAUGGGAGAAUAUCUAGCACUAGAACAUUUCUAAAUAUAACAAAAAUGAUAUAUUAAAGAGAAAGACAUUAAUAAAUUUUACCACAUCAUUGUUGCAUUUCUGUAUGAGGAAAGACUUCUAAACAAAUUUUACAAACAUCACAAACUAGUACAAGGCAUUGCAAAAACUUGUAACAUACAAAGUAUUAAUACUUUGUAUAUAUUAAACAUUUUUAUGUAUUCACAGGAAAAAAAUACAAAGUAUAGAAAAUGUGGAACAGAUUCCAAGAGGCAAUACAAGAUGAAGUUACUAUAGAUAGCCUUUCCUAUUGAUGUCCUUCUUGCCACCAACAUGUUCUGCAAUUUCUUAGUCCAUACUGAUUGUCAUUUAUUUUAAAAUUUAUUUUGUGACAGUUGCCAUGGUUAACUAUUUUAUUUGGGUGACUCUUUUUAUUAAAUCUAAGAUGGGGCAUUAUAUUUUAAGAUUUUAAAUAUGUCCAUUAGCCUAGAUACCCAGGAGAAACUCAAUGAAUCCUGCAUGUUUAUCUUUUUACAUUUUAACAUCUCUGAAAGUAAGAUGCACAUUGCAGUCUAUGGCAUUUCACAGUGUCAUCCAGGGCAGUCCUCAAGGUAUAGCUGCCUUUGCACAGCAUGAACUUGGUCAUUACUAUUCAUAUUAUCAUCAGCUCCAUUGAGUCAUAUGUAUCAUUGUCACUACAUUUUUUUGAGUUUGUCAAAUUAAAAUAUUACUUUAAAAUAUUACAUUAUGACUCAACAUUGGUACACAAAGUCAUAGUAUAAGUAGAAGGCCCAGAAACAAAGUAGAGGGACAAAACUGAUAUCUGUAAAGCAAAUAUUUAUCACUGCCAAAUGGCCACAUUCUACAUUUUCUUGCACAAUAAAGACCAGCCACUGUAUGGGGUCAUAGAAAGGAAGGGACCCAGAUGAAGCUGUGGAAAAUUCUGCCCCUACAGCACAUGUAAAAGGACUGCCUACUGAGGUCAAGCAACACAGCCCAAGGCAGGAGGAAUUGCCAAGCCUCUCUAAAGGAAAUUCCAAGGCAACAAGGGGCUGAGGUGAAUGACUGAUGCUGCCUCUUAUUCAUUCAGAAAAAUAUCAGCAUAAAAACCUGAAGAAUGCAUGGUAACAGCAUGAAAGAAAAUUCCAGACACUAUAUGGAUUAU